rnacentral:rRNA from 1 species
GUAGGGAAUAUUGGGCAAUGGAUGCAAGUCUGACCCAGCCAUCCCGCGUGCCGGAAGAAGGCCCUCAGGGUUGUAAACGGCUUUUGACGGUGAAGAAUCGACAGGAUGCGUCCUGUUUUGACGGUAGCCGUUGAAUAAGCACCGGCUAACUCCGUGCCAGCAGCCGCGGUAAUACGGAGGGUGCGAGCGUUGUCCGGAUUUAUUGGGUUUAAAGGGUGCGUAGGCUUGAAGGUCAGUCAGCGGUGAAAAGCUGUCGCUUAACGAUAGUCUUGCCGCAGAUACUUCCUUUCUUGGAUGAGGAGGAGGCCACUGGAACGGAUGGUGUAGCGGUGAAAUGCAUAGAUAUCAUCCAGAACACCGAUUGCGAAGGCAGGUGGCUGUACCUUAAUCGACGCUGAUGCACGAAAGCAUGGGGAGCAAACAGGAUUAGAAACCCCUGUAGUCC